UAGGGAAUCUUCCACAAUGGGCGAAAGCCUGAUGGAGCAACGCCGCGUGUGUGAUGAAGGCUUUAGGGUCGUAAAGCACUGUUGUAUGGGAAGAAAUGCUAGAAUAGGGAAUGAUUCUAGUUCGACGGUACCAUACCAGAAAGGGACGGCUAAAUACGUGCCAGCAGCCGCGGUAAUACGUAUGUCCCGAGCGUUAUCCGGAUUUAUUGGGCGUAAAGCGAGCGCAGACGGUUGAUUAAGUCUGAUGUGAAAGCCCGGAGCUCAACUCCGGAAUGGCAUUGGAAACUGGUUAACUUGAGUGUUGUAGAGGUAAGUGGAACUCCAUGUGUAGCGGUGGAAUGCGUAGAUAUAUGGAAGAACACCAGUGGCGAAGGCGGCUUACUGGACAACAACUGACGUUGAGGCUCGAAAGUGUGGGUAGCAAACAGGAUUAGAUACCCUGGUAGUCCACACCGUNNCGAUGAAUACUAGGUGUUAGGAGGUUUCCGCCUCUUAGUGCCGAAGCUAACGCAUUAAGUAUUCCGCCUGGGGAGUACGACCGCAAGGUU
rnacentral:rRNA from 1 species